rnacentral:SRP_RNA from 1 species
AACAAAAACUCCGUCAUCGCCUUCGCCGACAACUCGUCCUCGAUCGUAGGCCCAAAGCAAACAGUGCUGUCACCCGAGUACGCCACGAACAAG